ACGAACCAAAAAAGGAAACCGACGAACAACAGACGAAACCUAGGACGAAAUCGUUGCCCGUUAUCACUAUCAACGGUAAGGAUUUCUAGGUUCUGAAAAAGCUCGGUUCCGGUAGCUCCAGUUCAGUGUUUUCGGCCAAACAAAUGGGGACGGGCGUUGAAUGUGCAUUGAAGUUGUUGAAUCUCGAAGGCGAUUCCAGCAUAGUGGAAGGCUACUUAAACGAAACGAAACUGUUAUGACUAUUGUCAUGUUCCGGAGUCUAACCAACUUUACCUGGUUAUGGAAAAGGGUAAUAGUGAUCUGCACAAAAUCGUGCAAAGCUACCGCAAGGAUAUCCCGCUGUACACUCUCAUGCAAAUUUGGUACCAGAUGAUACAGUGUGUGCACUACAUUCACAAGCACGGUAUCAUCUAUCUGGAUCUCAAACCGGCUAACUUGGUAAAAGGUUGCGUGAAGCUGAUUGAUAAGUAACUAUUUAUACAAAUGAAACUGUACAAAAUUAUGUUGUAGAACAAUCCAUC